rnacentral:rRNA from 1 species
CCUACGGGUGGCAGCAGUGAGGAAUAUUGGUCAAUGGGCGCGAGCCUGAACCAGCCAAGUAGCGUGAAGGAUGACUGCCCUACGGGUUGUAAACUUCUUUUAUAAAGGAAUAAAGUGAGGCACGUGUGCCUUUUUGUAUGUACUUUAUGAAUAAGGAUCGGCUAACUCCGUGCCAGCAGCCGCGGUAAUACGGAGGAUCCGAGCGUUAUCCGGAUUUAUUGGUUUUAAAGGGAGCGUAGAUGGGUUGUUAAGUCAGUUGUGAAAGUUUGCGACUCAACCGUAAAAUUGCAUUUGAUACUGGAAGUCUUGAGUACAGUUGAGGUAGGCGGAAUGCGUGGUGUAGCGGUGAAAUGCAUAGAUAUCACGAAGAACUCCGAUUGCGAAGGCAGCUUACUAAGCUGCCACUGACAUUGAUGCUCGAAAGUGUGGGUAUCAAACAGGAUUAGAUACCCUAGUAGUC